rnacentral:snoRNA from 1 species
AGUCUUCCUUGUGCAUCAGAUCUGAACACUGGUCUGAGUGGUUCUAAAAGGAGAAACAGUAGAGUUGAGACUGGCAAUGUAUUUUUGUUACACGCGAGCUAGAUUCAAACAGUA